UAGUCCACGCCGUAAACGAUGAUAACUAGCUGUUCGGGCCCACAGGGCUUGAGUGGCGCAGCUAACGCAUUAAGUUAUCCGCCUGGGGAGUACGGUCGCAAGAUUAAAACUCAAAGGAAUUGACGGGGGCCUGCGCAAGCGGUGGAGCAUGUGGUUUAAUUCGACGCAACGCGCAGAACCUUACCAGCUUUUGACAUCCUGGUCGCGGAUUUGGGAGACCAUUUCCUUCAGUUCGGCUGGACCAGUGACAGGUGCUGCAUGGCUGUCGUCAGCUCGUGUCGUGAGAUGUUAGGUUAAGUCCUGCAACGAGCGCAACCCUUAUCGUAUGUUGCCAUCAUUUAGUUGGGCACUCGUGCGAGACUGCCGGUGAUAAGCCGGAGGAAGGCGGGGACGACGUCAAGUCAUCAUGGCCCUUACGUGUGGGGCUACAAACGUGCUACAAUGGGUAUGACAGUGGGCAGCCACUCCGCGAGGAGGCGCUAAUCCCAGAAAGUCUA
rnacentral:rRNA from 1 species